rnacentral:sRNA from 1 species
UUGACAGCCCAGGAACCUCAUGUCUUCAGAUUCUCCACAGCACAGGUGCAACUUGGGUAGCAGCAGUGCAAGCUUUUCCACAUCUGGUCAGUGUGCUUGAACCCUAACUUAGAGAGAUCUGGGGAGGAGUGGAUAGGUGUCUCCAUGGCCCAUUCCAUUCAUACUGCU